GGUUGUUUUCCUUCCUUUCUAACAUAUGUCAGACAUGGAACAGACUGAGACUCAGCUGCUGCAUUUCUAUUAUUUAGCUCAGGGCCUAGUGAGCAACCCUGGGAAUUAGUUCCAGGUAGUUCAGCUUGCUCCUCCACUUUCUUGAAUGAAGUCCCAGCUGAAAUAGAACUAGAAUGAACUUCCUGGUGCCUUGAUCGCAAUCUCUUUAAGGGUCUUUCAGGCUCCU
rnacentral:misc_RNA from 1 species